rnacentral:snRNA from 1 species
GUGCUCGCUUCGGCAGCACAUACACUAAAAUUGAAACCAUAUAGAGAUUAGCACAGCCCCUUGUGCAAGAAUGACAUGCAAAUUCGUGAAGUACUCCAUAUUUUU